rnacentral:rRNA from 1 species
AUUGAACGCUGGCGGCAUGCCUUACACAUGCAAGUCGAACGGCAGCAUGGAGAGCUUGCUCUCUGAUGGCGAGUGGCGAACGGGUGAGUAAUGCAUCGGAACGUACCGUGUAAUGGGGGAUAACGUAGCGAAAGUUACGCUAAUACCGCAUACGACCUGAGGGUGAGAGCAGGGGAUCGCAAGACCUUGCGUUAUACGAGCGGCCGAUGUCAGAGUAGCUAGUUGGUGAGGUAAAGGCUCACCAAGGCGACGAUCUGUAGCGGGUCUGAGAGGAUGAUCCGCCACACUGGGACUGAGACACGGCCCAGACUCCUACGGGAGGCAGCAGUGGGGAAUUUUGGACAAUGGGGGCAACCCUGAUCCAGCUAUGCCGCGUGAGUGAAGAAGGCCUUCGGGUUGUAAAGCUCUUUCGGCCGGGAAGAAAUCGCACAGGCUAAUACUCUGUGUGGAUGACGGUACCGGCAUAAGAAGCACCGGCUAACUACGUGCCAGCAGCCGCCGUAA